CAGUCGCCGCGGUAAUACGAAGGGGGCUAGCGUUGCUCGGAAUUACUGGGCGUAAAGGGAGCGUAGGCGGACUGUUUAGUCAGAGGUGAAAGCCCAGGGCUCAACCUUGGAAUUGCCUUUGAUACUGGCAGUCUUGAGUACGGAAGAGGUAUGUGGAACUCCGAGUGUAGAGGUGAAAUUCGUAGAUAUUCGCAGGAACACCAGUGGCGAAGGCGACUUACUGGUCCGAUACUGACGCUGAGGUGCGAAAGCGUGGGGAGCAAACAGGAUUAGAUACCCCUGUAGUCCCUGUCUCUUAUAC
rnacentral:rRNA from 1 species